GCCAACCUGAAGGAUGCAACUCUUGAAUUAAUGCAAACUCCUCUUCAUAUGUCUCAAACUAUUCGAUGAAUCAAACAAAUCAAUUCAUUAAUCAUCAUUCCGUAGAAACCAGGGCUGAGCCUUCGUAAAAAUAUCCAUAAUGAUUACACUACUCGAGUUUCUUUAUGUUUAACUUUUAAACUUUUUAAAAUGAACCCCAAUAACGACGACAUUAGAUACACAAGAAAAGAUUGUUUAAGCAGACUAAACAUUCAUGAACACGUCAUACAAAGAGGUCAAUGAAUACGUUUUACUUCUCGGGGUCAAUCUGUACUCUAUUGGAAACAAAUUUAACUGAUCAGUAUCUUGUCUUUCUGAAUUGUGUGUUUUACUAGUCCUCUAUACAAAACAAAACACCCCAUACCUUUGGCGGAGUGGGAUUCCUUUUGUGUGCAAUGCCCCGAAUCCCAUUUCGCCCAAAAAUUUUGUACAGAGUAUAAACAAUACAAUUGCUACUACUCUUUUACUCAAUGUAAAUUCUGGACGUGGCUAUAACAGAGCUAAAUUCAUAUUUUAAAGUUCAGGUGAAACGCUCUGGUAUAGUGAAGACGACUUUAGCUAUUUAGUCUUAUUUAUCUAGGGAUACUUCUAAUCUACUCAAUUUGGACUAAUGAAAUACCUCGAUGUACUGUAUUGAAUUGAUCAGCCUAUCUAAAAAUAAAAAAUGCAAUACAAAUUAUUUUUUGAACGAAAAAUUGUGGGGCUACAGUGUCAAAUAUUCGUUUACAUAUAAAAUAUGUAGUUGCUAGAAAUUAUGCAUUAAAAAGUCGUUUUUCUUGGAGCUAGCCAAACUUAUUUGGAAACAGUGUGUGGUUUUACAUUGAUACCAAAUAUUUUAUACUGAAAAACUCAUAUCUUAAUCAAUAUUUAAUUUCAAUGAAUACACAAAACAUGGAUCUUUAUAUAAGAGAUUUUAUGCUAUUUAAGUUUUAUUUUGUAAUGAUUCAUUCAUAGUUCCUAAGCAUGGACAUUUUUAUACCACUUUUUUUUAUCAAGCAACUUACCAAAACAAAUAUAUUUGACCAAUCAAUUUACCAGUUCGUGAGUUUUGUUUCCAGAUUUGGAUCACAAUCUUUUAUCGCAUGAUGUCAGCAGAUACGAGAAAUAUAUUUAGAAGUAAGGUCGUCUUAUGCUUUCAUUUUAAUCUAAGUAUUACAGACGACAUCUAAUGUCUUAUCUGUUAUUGUUAAUGUAUAAACGGAUUUAGUAUACUAAUCUUAAUCUGAAAGGCAGCUUCUAGUAUGGAAAAUCUUCCUUAACAUUGUGAUAUAUUUGUAAACUCGUGAAAAUAAAUUUUGAGUGUUAACA